GGAAUACAAUCUAUUUUUUGUAUGAUGUAGAAAAAUGAAAUUUGGAAUAUUAGAAGAUGUUGAAUAGUAACCUGAACAUAAUGACUUGAGUAUUACUACGUCCAUUCUUGUACAUCUUUGUGGCAACCCCAUUUGUUCUUUUUUUUUAAAGGAUCUAAUUUUUGUUUUAUUGCUUUAAGUUUUUAAAAUUCUAUCAUGCUGCAUUAUUUCUCUAUCAUGUGCCAUACGACCCUCUGUGACUUUUAAAAAUGCAUGGUGUUUCACCUACAUUUUUCAAAAAGGUCAAUCGGGUCUCUUAUCAUCUGUCAGCAGCCAAAGAUCCACUGUACGUGGAUGUAGAGACUGCAUUCAUUGUAACAUAAAGGUUUUUAACUGAUUCAAAACACAAUAAUGAAUGUAAAAACACUAGAAAAUUCAAAAUAAACAUGUGUAGUUAAAAGAUUGCCAAGUUCAUACAUUAUUGUAUGUUUUUCAUUUUUACACUUUUGUAGUAAAAUAUUAAACAUUAGCUUGACUAAAUCAACGAUAUGUACAUGUAUAUAGCUGUUAUUUAAUUAAUUUUACAUAUUGGAUAAUAAUGAACAUAUCCUUGUUUCUGUUACAUUUUUCAUAUGUGGUUGUUUUACAUAUUGUUCAUAAAUAAAUAUUUUUUUUAU
rnacentral:misc_RNA from 1 species